GAGGUUGUGGUUCAAAGGUAGAGCACUCACCUACCAUGUUUGAGGCACUGAGUUCAAUCCUCAGCACCACA
rnacentral:tRNA from 1 species